AUAAUAAGGAUGGCAAGUGUAUCCAGAGUCCUGACCAAGAGGAUUUUAUCAACUAAAGCCCUCCCUGCAGCCGCCCGAUGUAGCUCCAGGAACAUCCACUUCUCCGUCUAUGGGAAGAAGGACAACGCCAAAGUGUCAGAUGGUAUCUCAACCCAGUACCCCGUAGUGGAUCAUGAGUUUGAUGCGGUGGUGGUCGGGGCUGGGGGAGCAGGUCUGAGAGCUGCUUUUGGUCUGUCUGAGGCUGGCUUCAACACGGCCUGUGUCACCAAGCUGUUCCCCACUAGGUCUCACACUGUGGCAGCACAGGGUGGGAUCAAUGCAGCCCUGGGUAACAUGGAGGGAGAUGAUUGGAGGUGGCACUUCUACGACACAGUGAAGGGAUCUGAUUGGCUAGGGGACCAGGAUGCUAUCCACUACAUGACAGAGCAGGCCCCAGCUGCCGUGGUGGAGCUGGAGAACUUUGGAAUGCCCUUCAGUCGGACAGAUGAUGGGAAGAUCUAUCAGAGGGCCUUCGGGGGUCAGAGCCUGAAUUUUGGAAAGGGAGGCCAAGCACACCGAUGCUGCUGUGUAGCUGACAGGACUGGACACUCCCUUCUUCACACAUUGUAUGGACGGUCCUUAAGGUAUGAUACCAGCUACUUUGUGGAGUACUUUGCUCUGGACCUGCUGAUGGAGGAGGGUGAAUGCAGAGGAGUGAUCGCUCUCUGUAUGGAGGAUGGAUCCAUCCACCGCUUCAGAUCCAACAACACUGUCAUCGCUACUGGUGGUUAUGGCCGUACCUACUUCAGCUGUACCUCAGCCCACACCAGCACCGGGGAUGGUAACGCCAUGGUAACCAGAGCUGGCCUACCAUGCCAGGACCUGGAGUUUGUACAGUUCCACCCCACCGGUAUCUAUGGUGAACCACAGCCAGCUAUACUCAUCACUGAGGGUAACCAGUGGAACCACAGCCAGGGAUCCUCAUCAAACAGUGAAGGAGUAAGAACCACAGCCACUAACUAUACUGUAACUAUACUGUAACUAUACGCUCCCAGUAAGAACCACGCCAAAGAUCUGGCCUCCCGGGAUGUGGUGUCACGCUCCAUGACCAUUGAGAUCCGUGAGGGAAGGGGUUGUGGUCCGGAGAAGGACCAUGUGUACCUGCAGUUGCAUCACCUGCCCCACCAGCAGCUGGCCACCCGCCUGCCUGGUAUCUCUGAGACCGCCAUGAUCUUCGCUGGGGUUGACGUCACCAAAGAGCCCAUCCCUGUCCUGCCCACCGUCCACUACAAUAUGGGAGGAAUCCCCACUAACUAUAAGGGACAGGUCAUCACUCAUCCAGAUGGGGAGGACAAGGUGGUGCCAGGGCUGUAUGCCUGUGGUGAGGCUGCCUGUGCCAGUGUCCAUGGUGCCAACCGGCUGGGUGCCAACUCCCUGCUGGAUCUGGUGGUGUUUGGCAGAGCCUGUGCCCUCACCAUCGCUGACACCUGCACUCCAGGUGAGAAGCUUUCCCCACUGAAGCCCAGUGCUGGAGAGGAGUCUGUGGCCAACCUGGACAAGAUCAGGUUUGCUGACGGGAACACCAGAACCUCUGAGAUCAGACUCAACAUGCAGAGAACGAUGCAGACCCAUGCAGCAGUGUUCCGUACCGGCGACGUUCUGAAGGAGGGAUGUGACAAGAUGGACGCCAUCUACCAGACCAUGGAGGACAUCAAGACAUUCGACCGUGGUAUGGUGUGGAACACUGACCUGGUCGAGUCUCUGGAGCUGCAGAACCUGAUGCUGAACGCGGUCCAGACUAUCCACUCUGCCGAGGCCCGCAAGGAGACCAGGGGAGCACACGCCCGGGAGGACUACAAGGACCGUAUAGAUGAGCUGGACUACGCCAAGCCUCUGGCAGGACAGGAGAGGAAGCCUUUCGAACAGCAUUGGAGAAAACACACCAUGUCCACUGUGGAUCCUCAGACUGGCGAGGUAACUCUGGAGUACCGACCAGUGAUUGACACCUCUCUGGACCAGGGGGAAUGUUCAGCCGUCCCUCCAGCCAUCCGCUCCUAUUGAGACAAUCUCAACAGGAACACUUAUUUAUUAUUGUCAGUCUGUAGGCUUCCAGCAAAACCCACCUAGGAUCCACUUCACUGUGUGACCUUCACUCUGUGUGAGGGAGCACUGUAGAUAGGGAAUUACUGCUGUCUCACAUGCAGUUUGACUUUCAACCCACAUAUUGUAGUCAACACUGCAAGCAAAGGAAUUGUUAAGGUAAUAUGAUUGAAGUUUGUAAAUAUAGAACUGUUUUCUAAUUGUCUGUUGUCAUAUGAAGUUGUAGAGUAGUUUCCCUAUAGGUAGGUAGUUACCUAAAUACUCCCAUUCUCUGUGGCCUUUAUUAUCUGCUGAUACCAUAAUAUUAGGACUCUGAAUGGAAUACUGAAUUUGAAUGUUGUGUAAUCGUUGUAGUUCAGAGUGCUGAGACAUCCUAUUUCACUGUAGACGUCCCUUCAGCGUCAUUAACACAUCGUCUUUAAUGAUUAUCCUGUCAGGAUAAAUUAAUGUGUAGAACUGGCGUGUGACCAGUUCACUCUGCUUGCUACAGGUUAUGCACUUUAUGGCAAUAUUUAAAAAUAUUCUCAACUAUAGAUGUCUUUAUGCUAUUUACUGGUGGAAUAUAGUGGACAUUAAGACAAUUUAGGAAGGGGGAAAUAAAUGAAAUACUAUGUAUGUUACCAAUAAUUAAUUUAUAUUUGCUUUGUUCUUAUGUUCUGUGUAUUAUUUCAAAUGUGUCAUUAAACUUUAAAUCAUUAAAUCAA